rnacentral:rRNA from 1 species
UACGUAGGGGGCAAGCGUUGUUCGGAAUUACUGGGCGUAAAGGGCGCGUAGGCGGCUUGGUCAGUCCCGUGUGAAAUCCCUCGGCUCAACUGAGGAACUGCACGGGAAACUGCCUGGCUUGAGUUCGGGAGAGGGAAGCGGAAUUCCGGGUGUAGCGGUGAAAUGCGUAGAUAUCCGGAGGAACACCGGUGGCGAAGGCGGCUUCCUGGACCGACACUGACGCUGAGGCGCGAAAGCUAGGGGAGCAAACGGG